rnacentral:piRNA from 1 species
UUGACCGGUCUAAGUGAAUGCAAAUCAG